rnacentral:rRNA from 1 species
UACAGAGGUCUCAAGCGUUGUUCGGAUUCAUUGGGCGUAAAGGGUGCGUAGGCGGCGGGGCAAGUCUGAUGUGAAAUCCCGGGGCUCAACCCCGGAACUGCAUUGGAUACUGCUCUGCUUGAGCACUGGAGAGGAGACUGGAAUUUACGGUGUAGCAGUGAAAUGCGUAGAUAUCGUAAGGAAGACCAGUGGCGAAGGCGAGUCUCUGGACAGUUACUGACACUGAGGCACGAAGGCCAGGGGAGCAAACGGG